GCGGAGGAAAAGAAACUAACAAGGAUUCCCCUAGUAACGGCGAGUGAAGAGGGAAGAGCCCAAGAUUGAAAGCUGGCGUCUUCGGCGUCCGCAUUGUAAUCUCAAGAAGUGUUUUCCGCUUCGGACCAAGCCUAAGUCCCUUGGAAAAGGGCAUCAUAGAGGGUGAUAAUCCCGUACAUGGCUUGGAGCGCCCGAGGCUUUGUGAUACGCUUUCUAAGAGUCGAGUUGUUUGGGAAUGCAGCUCAAAAUGGGUGGUAAAUGCCAUCUAAGGCUAAAUAUUGGGGAGAGACCGAUAGCGAACAAGUACAGUGAUGGAAAGAUGAAAAGAACUUUGAAAAGAGAGUUAAACAGUACGUGAAAUUGCCAAAAGGGAAGGGUAGGAGGUCAGAGAUGCGGCCUGGGAUUCAGCCUUGCUUUUGCUUGGUGUUUUUCCCAGAUUGCAGGCCAACGUCGGUUUUGGGCACUGGAGAAGGGUAGGAGGAACGUGGCACCUCUCGGGGUGUGUUAUAGCCUCCUACUGGAUACAGCGACCGAGACCGAGGAAAGCAGCGUACUCGUAAGAGCGGGCCCUCGGGUACCUUUACGCUUAGGGCGUUGGCAUAAUGGCCCUCUACCACCCGUCUUGAAACACGGACCAAGGAGUCU
rnacentral:rRNA from 1 species